CGAUAAUCUCGUGGCGAACAUCAACAUAAUUCAAGCGCAAGGAUCUCAGGAACCUAAUAUCAUGCAUUCUGGCUGGAGUUUUCAUGUGACUGUAACAUUCCUCCGAAAAAAAGUAGUUCGAAGAUAACCGUUUCCCCAGAUGAAAAGCCAGAUGAAGAGACUCCACCCUCUUUGAAAUUGCAAACUUGAUCCAUCUAUCGAUAUCCCCUUCCGAAUUGCAAUUAUUUGUCAAGUUAAAUAAAAGGCUCAACUUGCUUAUUGGCGAGCAACUCUGUUGUUGCACUUGGGAUAUAACACCGUUCACCCAAUUCUUGUACCAACGCCUCUUCUCCUGAAGAAUUCGUACUGGGAUCCAGUCCAGCUUGCAAAUGUCUCGCAACUCCUCCGAGCCAUCAAAGUCGAGCACCAAAA
rnacentral:lncRNA from 1 species